rnacentral:lncRNA from 1 species
UUUUCCUGAAUCUUAGCAGAAUGUGCGGCUCUAUUGCGUCCUGCCGCGAGUCUGAACGAGAGUUGCCGGGGAUCCUCGCCGGAGAGAUAGGCACCUGUCCAAGAGAACAAAACACACCCACACACACCCACAAAGGCAGCGGAAAUAAUGGAACUAAAAGCGCGGGAGUUGCCGGAAAAAUUUCCAACGGAAAGCGAUAGUUCAAAACCUCUGAACCAGAAUAGGAUCAGACUUGGGUGAGCAAACAGUAGUGAUAAAACAGUGCAGCUACUCUGCUGUGAGGGAGUAUUUUCGGGGUAAAACAAACAGAACACACCCACACACACCCACAAAAAGCAGAAGAGAGAAUAGGAAGAAAAGUGCAGAAAGAGAAUUGAAAUAAACAAAAGAAAAGCAGAACAAAUAACUCAACAAAGGAGAUUUUCUCAAAUUGAAGAAAAGUGGCACUGGUGGCGGCUGGCCACCUGUUCUAUAAGCAGAAAUGAACAGAGCCAAAAACUUCAAGGGCAACAAAGCGAUAGUUGUUUAGAGAGCCAAAAGUUUGACAAAAUGCAGGAACGAUGUAAUAACGAAACCCUAAGUAGAAAGUAGUGACUCCAGCUUACCUCGAUGCAACAAUAUAUGCGAGAAUCAACGAAACCCUAGAAAUAUAAAGUCAGCAAGAACUGAA